CUGCUAGUCAGGGGAGUGGAAAAGAAGCACCUAGCAGGGAAUUAAGAGAAAAUGUCUUCGGUGCCGUGUCGUCAAUGGCCAACACUUGACUGAUUACUCCCAUUCUGACUCCAGUUGAAGGGAAGUGGCAGCUCUGGCAGCCUUUCAUAAUAACAGUCUCACAAGGAAAGGAAAGCCGAUUCCAAGAACCAGUGCCAUUUGCAUUUUGCUGUCACGUGUGAGUGUGGUUCAAAGACUUAAAUCAGGUGGCUUUCAAAACAUUUUGCUCGCUUCUGUUUUUCUGACAAGGACAAUCACUGAAAUAUGCUGCAUUUACAGGGUGCCUUUCAUCAAGUGCCAGCUCUGCGGUUUCCCUCACAGCUCUCCGUCCAAGUUGCUUUGGUCUCUUCGUCCUCAAGACAGGGUUUUCCUGCACCUGGGCC
ensembl:lncRNA